ACUCCUAGAAGAAAUAGGAGAAUAAUAUUGUAGGAAUCAUCUCUAUCACCACCACCUGGGACCCUAUCACAUACAUGUGCCAUGUGCACAUGUGCCUAAACACACCACACGCACACACACAGCCUGCCAGCAUGAGGGAGCCCAGGAGAGCAAGCCUGCCCUUAGCCUGGCCCCUCCCCAGCAGCCUUCUCUGCUGUGACUUUCCUGUCUCCACCUCUCCAUUCUUUUUCUCUGCUCCCAGCCUUUCUGUCAGUUUCUCUUUCUCUCAGUUUAUUUUAGCUUCCUGCUAACUCUCAGCCUCUGCCUUUGUCUUAGUUGUUUUUUCUCUCCCAUUGUGUUUCUAGUUCCAUCUUAUACCCCUCCUUUCCACUUCUUGGAUUCCAUCUCUCCUGCCUCUGCCCUCUUCACUCCAGCCAUUGCCCCUACCUCAGUCCCACCAGGAACUGAACCCAGUUCUGGCCCAGUGGAGUCCUAAAAUUUAGCAGUUAGGUUGCAAGGGGUGGGAGAGAAAAGCAGCUCCUUGGAAUGAGUCCCUGCUUUGGUGGGAGGUCUUAAGGAUCAUACUGUUUUGCUAUGGUAUUGAAGCAGAGGAGGGGGAGGCCAGGAGGUGGACCAGAGAGCAAAGCAUAACAUAAGUAAGGGAAGAGAGGGAAAGGGAGAGAUUGAUAGAAAAGACACAGGAGGGAAAACACUAGAGAGAAGGGCAAGGAUUUAAUGUUCCCACUAAGGGGCCAGGGAUUUAGCUCAGUGGUGCCGACGCCUGCCUCACAAGCAAAAGGUCCCGAGUUCGAUCCCCCGUACCAAAAAAAAAAAAAAAUGUUCCCACUAAGAGUGUGUUUUAGGAUGACCUGAAGGGAAGGGCCUAAAGGGCAUCCACUGAGCCAUUUGAGAAACAGAUCCAGAGACAAGGUCUGGAAACCCAGUUUGAGAAACAAAAAUGCACUGUCUGCCAGGCAGCCACGAUCCUGGACUCUUGGCUAUCUAGAGGUUCUCAGAGGCCUCUUUCUCCUUUGCAGACAAUCUUAAAGUGUUGGUCCCCUCCUCGUUAACCUCUUCCACAGCCUCCUGUCUUCCUUUUCUUCUGAGAAUGACAUCAGCUCUAGCUGCCACUGUCCUCAACCCUUUUGCUGAUGUACUGCCCCAUGGGUGCAACAGAGGCCGAUCACCCAGCCCCACCCGUUCCCAGCCCAGCACCCUGCAGUGGGAAUGGAAGAGGCUGUACCAGGAAGGCGGCUGCAGGACACGAAUUGCAGGCUCAUUUCAUGAGCAGUAGAGGUGACUGAGGAGACCCUUCAAAUUGCAGUGGAGGAGGACUUCUCGCGCUACCCCCUCAAAAUCCUGCAGAGGAAGAGGGAAAGAAAACCAAAGCAUUCUCCUGUCGCCGCGGCAACCAUAAAAACCCCAGCUAAAUCCAUCUUGUGAGCUCACCGCCCCAUUAAGAUGCAGGGCCAGGCUCUGCGCCAGCCCAGCCACAUUCAUUUGUGCGAAUAAAGGUGGAGGAGGGGGAGGGGAGCAGGCUCUGGAGAGACGUGGAAAUGGCGAGAAGAGGUUAUUUACACCACCGUCCUGACCUUCUGGAGCAGUGCUGGCUCCGAUAAAUAACCCGCUCAGCGCCGUUUCAGAGCAGGAGUGGGAGGUGCAGGAAGGGAGAGGGGCUGGAGGAGAGCCCCCACGCAGGUGCGCGUCUCCGGGUUACUAAUGGCUGAGGCGGGUGCAGGCAGCUGGCUUUGGGGGUGGUGGUGGGAGAACUCAGUUCCCUGAGACUCCCACUGAGAAAAAUACCAUCCCCACCCCACCCUGGCGCCAAUAUCCAGGCGAGGGGACUGAGAGAUGCCAAGGAGGCAAACAGCCCCGUAAAUUAGGCAUGGGGGGGGGGUUGCUGGAGAGUCUCAGAGGUAGCAAGUAAUAUUAUAAGAUGGGGGUGGGGGCUGAAGGAAUAGGAGUAGCUGCCAAAAAGAGAGGUACAGAAACAUCACACAAAGGCAGUUUGGCAAAAAUGUUUUAUUCCUCUGCACAGAGCAGUAUAGGAAGGUGGGCCAACUCCUAAUUCUGUACAUCUUUUACAUGAAGGUCCCUCCUCAAAUAUCCCAUUGUCUGCCCCACUUCAGUGCUGAAGAACUGGCAGUUAGUGGAAAGGGCAGAAUGUAAGGUCCUGGGAAGGGUUUUCUUUUUUCUUUUUUUUUUUUUGGUACCGGGGAUCGAACUCAGGU